ensembl:lncRNA
AGUACAAAAGUCAACAUAGAAUCUAUAUCCAAUGACAAUUUCAAUAAAUAUAAUUACAAGAAUCACAUCAUCAUUAAAUAUGCCGGCAUUAUAAUAGCUACUGUUUAGUGCAAGGACUCUGCUAGGUACUUUAUGUAUAUUACCUCAAUUGAUCUUCAUCACGACCUUAUCACUUAGGUAUCAUCAUCAGUAUCAUUUUACCAAUGAGGAAUCUAAAGCUUAGAUGCAUUGAGUAGCUUGGGCAAGGUUAUAGAGAACUAAUCAAAAAUCCAGAUGACUACACAUUUAGAAUGGAUAAGCAAUGAGGUCCUACUGUUUAGCACAGGGAACUAUAUCCAGUCUUUUGGGAUAGCCCAUGAUGGAAGAUAAUAUGAGAAAAAGAAUGUAUAUAAAUGUAAGACUGGGUCACUAUGCUGUGCAGCAGAAAUCGACACAACAGUGUAAAUCAACUAUACUCUAACCAAAAAAAAAAAACAAACAAACAAAAAAAACUCUUUAAAAAAUCCAGAUGUAGGAAUUCCCUUUGUGUCUCAGCAGUUAAUGAACCCGACUAGGAUCCAGGAGGAUGUGGGUUCGAUCCCUGGCCUUGCUCAGUGGGUUAAGGAUCCAGUGUAGCUGUGAGCUGUGGUGUAGAUCAAAGAUGCGACUUGGAUCCAGUGUUGCUGUGGUUGUGACAUAGGCCUGUGGCUACAGCUCCACUUCAACACCUAGCCUGGGGACUUCCAAAUGCUGUGUGUGCAGCCCUAAAAAGCAAAAUAAUAAUAAUAAUAAUAACAAUAAUAAAGUAAAAUAACCAUCCUUAUUUAAGAGUAAAAAAUAAAGUUAAGAAAAAUCCAGAUGCAUUCAUUUAGUCAUUAUGUCAGCUAUCCUUUGAGUACUUAACAAGUGCCAGGCAUGUUUUAGGGUCCAAAUCACUGUGGUUAAGAAAUCAGACAAGGGAGUUCCCUUCACCACUCAGUGGUUAAUGAAUCCGACUAGGAUCCAUGCAGAUGCAGGUUUGAUCCCUGGCCUUGCUCAGUGGGUUAAGGAUCUGGCAUUGCUGUGAGCUGUGGUGUAGGUCACAGAUGCGGCUCAGAUCCUGCAUUCCUGUGGCUGUGGCUGUGCUGUAGGCUGGCAGCUGUAGCUCCGAUUCAACCCCUAGCCUGGGAACUUCCAUAUGCCAUGGGUGCGGACCUAAAAAGACAAAAAAAAAAAAAAAAAAAAAAAAAAAAAAAAAAAGAAGAAGUCAGACAAGACCUCUUUUUUGUAGUUUCCUGUCUCAUCAGUGAGACAGAUGAUUAUGACAUGUGUGACUGACAUAACUUCAGAUAGUAACAAGUACCAAGAAGUAAAGAGAAGGCCUGGGGUUGGUGACUUUGACUAACUGAAGGAAGUGGACUGAUAUUAGUCUGGAGGAACUCUCUAAGGAGUGGAUAUUUGAUCUAAGACAUAAAAGAGCCUUGUGAUAGUCAGGUGCUUGGCAUAUGCUCAGAGAACAUGAAGGAGACCCGGGAGUGGGAUCAGAGGGCACAAAAGAAGAGCAGAAGAUUAUUUAGGAUUUUGUAAACUACAAUUGGGUUUCCUCGAGGUAGAGAAGCAGAUUUCACUUAAGGCAGACUGCAUCAGUGAGCAGAGCCUGAAUCACUCCUAGUGCCCAGGCAGAUGUCCCUUUCCCAUGUUUAUUAUGCUGAGAAAGGCCACAUGUGGGUAAGACCCUAAUUAAGGACAGGACAUGUGCUCUAGUGGGCCCUCCUUUGGGGGAAGGCCUGAAGAUGAGUCUUACAGUAAACCAUGUUAUUUAUCAAGAGGGGAUGUUUGUGUAUCACUUAUGAGCUCAGUUGGGUCCAAAUGCUGUAGGUAUUAGGUACUACACUGUAUGGAGUGGAUGUUUACACAUUGCCUGUAUCUAAACCCAGUUAGAUGAUCUGGUAGAAGAUGGUGUCAGACAUUAACAAUAGCAGCUAAGAUUAUUACAUACUUAAUAUGUGCCAGGCUUUAUAAGUAUCUCCUAGAGUUAAUUUCCUAUUUAGUUCUCUCAACCAUCUUAUGGGUUAGGUAUUGCUACUGUUUUACAGAUAAGAAUACUGAGACACUUUUUUUUUUUUUUUUUUUGUCUCUUCUAGGGCCACUCCCGUGACACAUGGAGGUUCCCAGGCUAGGGGUCAAAUUGGAGCUGUAGCUGCUGGCCUACACCAGAGCCACAACAACGCGGGAUCCGAGCUGCGUCUGCAACCUACACCACAGCUCACGGCAACGCCGGAUCGUUAACCCACUGAGCAAGGCCAGGGAUCGAACCUGCAACCUCAUAGUUCCUAGUCGGAUUCGUUAACCACUGAACCACGACGGGAACUCCCUGAGACACUUAAAAAUACCACACAUAAGAGAACACUGAUAGAGCUAGACCUUGAUCCCAGAACCAUUUGACUGCAAAGUACAGACUCACAGCUGCUAUGCUCCCUUUUCAUUUUAGCACACACAUUAUUGAAGUAGCCAGUGUAUUCUGACGGUGGUCUAGUUUCUUGGCCUUGAAGGCUCUGUCUAGAGAAGUGGCUCCGGUUGGGCCAGAUUCUUCUUUACCCAGAUUUACAGAGGUCCUACCUGGACAGAUAUUGUGUUAUCCUGCACCAGUUGUAUUGCCAGGCGCCCUUCCUCUAGAACUUUUUGCUAAUGACAGAGUUCCUGCUUUUUAAUUAUGGGCUUAGGCAAAGUUCAGUCUAUGAGAUGUAAUUAUUUAGCAUCUGACUUGUAGGAAAGGAUUUGUUUCCUUUCAAAUUCUAAAAAAAAAAAAAAAAAAAAAAAAAAAAAA